rnacentral:rRNA from 1 species
AUUGAACGCUGGCGGCAGGCCUAACACAUGCAAGUCGAACGAGUGGCGGACGGGUGAGUAAUGUCUGGGCAACUGCCUGAUCGAGGGGGCUCACUACUGGAAAACGUAGCUAAUACCGCAUACCAUCCUUUCUGCCCAGAUGGGAUUAGCUAGUAGGUGGGGUAAAGGCUCACCUAGGCGACGAUCCCUAGCUGGUCUGAGAGGAUGACCAGCCACACUGGAACUGAGACACGGUCCAGACUCCUACGGGAGGCAGCAGUGGGGAAUAUUGCACAAUGGGCGAAAGCCUGAUGGAGCCAUGCCGCGUGUAUGAAGAAGGCCUUCGGGUUGUAAAGUACUGUCAGCGGGGAGGCGUUACCCGCAGAAGAAGCACCGGCUAACUCCGUGCCAGCAGCCGCGGUAAUAC